rnacentral:pre_miRNA from 25 species
GGGGUCCGACCCCGGAAAUCGAGGGUCGGACCCCGGAAAUCGGGGGUCCGACCCUCGAUUUCCGGGGUCGGACCCC